rnacentral:rRNA from 1 species
CCUACGUGUGGCAGCAGUGAGGAAUAUUGGUCAAUGGGCGGAAGCCUGAACCAGCCAAGUAGCGUGCAGGAUGACGGCCCUACGGGUUGUAAACUGCUUUUAUACGGGAAUAACGCGCCUUACGUGUAGGGCUGUGCAUGUACCGUAUGAAUAAGGACCGGCUAAUUCCGUGCCAGCAGCCGCGGUAAUACGGAAGGUCCGGGCGUUAUCCGGAUUUAUUGGGUUUAAAGGGAGCGUAGGCCGCAUGUCAAGCGUGCUGUGAAAUGUCCGGGCUCAACCCGGGCCUUGCAGCGCGAACUGGCAGUCUCGAGUUGGAGAGAAGUAUGCGGAAUGCGCGGUGUAGCGGUGAAAUGCAUAGAUAUCGCGCAGAACUCCGAUUGCGAAGGCAGCAUGCCGGCUCCACACUGACGCUGAGGCACGAAAGCGUGGGUAUCGAACAGGAUUAGAUACCCGAGUAGUC